rnacentral:snRNA from 1 species
UAUUAAGUGGACUUUUUGGAGCAGGGAACUGGAAAAGGAGCUUGCUCUGUCCACUCCAUGCAUCAACCUGAUACUGCAGUACCUCCAGGAAC